AUAUUUUCCUAGCGUUGAGUGUUUUGGUCGGGCCGCGCCAUCUUCCUCGAAUGUGCGUUGUUUUGCGUUUUUUCCGUACAAAAUUGCAGCCCGACCAAUUUCAUACUCUGCAAAGGAUAUAUUCAUACCACCAGUUUCUCAUUUUACCUAAUCGAGAAUUGAAAUGAGUCUGGAUACUUUGCUUGAAGCUGCUGAAUUUCUGGAAUGGCGUAACCAGUCCAAAACACGUGUUGAUGAGUCUGCGGGUCGAGUAUCAUCAGCAAACGGUUCGACACCUCUCAAGAUUCAUAUAGCUCUGCUAAAAUAAUUUACAUGGACCCAGACGAUGCAACACUUCGUCGCCGUGCAGGAGGAGCUGGGACCAGAGAGGUUCACAAUAAAUUAGAGAAAAACAGGCGGGCACAUUUAAAAGAAUGCUUUGACAUUUUAAAGAAACAAAUUCCAACACUAGAAGAUAAAAGGACAUCAAAUCUUUGUAUUCUACGUGGCUCUAUUCGAUAUAUUCAGGCUGUGAAAAGAAAAGAGAAAGAAUAUGAGCUUGAAAUGCAAAGAUUAGCAAAGGAGAAGAUAACUCUCCAAGAGAGGAUACAAAGUUUAAAGUCAGAACUAGCCAAAAUGAAUAUAGAAGUAGAUUUAAACCAGUGGAUUACUCUUCCAGAUGAACAAGACACCAAUUCUACUUCAACAGCAACAGAACAAGGAAGUCCAAUAUGCAGUGAUGAUGAUGAAGAUGACAUCCGAAGUCCCAGCAAGUCCUUUAUGGGUGAAAGAGAUAUAGUAAAGAAAUUAUUCCCAGGCAGCAAUCAUAACUCUAUCAAUCAUCAGCGAGAAAUGACAGUAUUAAAGGUCACAAAGCCAGACCAUAUAAAUGUGCCUGCAGCCACCAUCCUCAAAAUUCCAACCUCCAAGUCCCCACUCCAACAGCAUCUCAUGUCUCCACUGGUGGGAAACUCAUUGUUGACAAAGCCCUCAGUACCAGUGAGGUCAGAGGCCAUGUCGUCAGUCCAGUCUGUUGUGACCACUUCCAGUUCUGUGGACACACGAACACCAGUCACGCAGCUAUUAGCCAGGACAUUAGAGAAAAGACAGAAACAGCAACAAAGUGCCAUCGUUACAGUGACCAAUGUUAGUCCUAGUGUUAAACCACCAACUGUACCACUAAAGACCAUUCCUUUGAGACAUUCUUUGGGCAUUCCUAUAGCAACACAGUUCGUGGCUGCCCCUGGUGCAGCACAGUUAGCAGCCAUUAACAAACUAGUAUCCCAGGGUACCCUUGCCAUGCCUGUAACAAUGGCCAAAGGAUUUGCCCAGCCAAUACUGGUGUCUACCAACUUAAUGACAGGAUUGACAUCUAGUCAGCAACAGCAACUAUUGAACAAUGCUGCAACACAAAGUUUGGCAAAACAAUCUGUCAUCACCACAUCUUCUGUAACCAAUGCUACAAGCACUGUCAAAGUUUCUGCAUUCUCAGCUGCACCAUUCUCAGCUUCACCAAUGACUGCUACACCACUUUCAGCUACCCAAUCCAUGGGUGCCUUAGGAAAUAUACCUAGCAUUAGACCUCUUGCAACUAGUGGAGCAACUCAUAUGCUUGGACAAAUACCUUUCAAUAUUCUAGCUCAAGCACUGCCAAGGACAUCUCUAGGACAAGUUGUCACACCUGUAACUAGUUCAAUAUCUGCAUCAAUUCCAUCUAGUCUGCCACAGAGUGUAAACAUGCAGCAGCUAAUGUCACUUGCUCAAAUAACACAAGGGACACAACUGGUGUCUCCAAUGACGGUUAUGUCCCCUGGUGUGCAGCUGGCACAAGGACUGACACAGACACAGUUGAAUUCCAUGCUCUCAAGCCCUCUUCUGAAGCAGAUUCCGUUGUUUCCACAUGGGUUCCUUCAGGGUGCCCAGGUAGGCGGGGUUUUGGGUCAGCCUGUGGUGAAACCAGUGGUUGUGGUGAGCCUGCCUAGCGUAGUGACCACCACUGCUCCUACAUCCACCGUUGCAGUUACCACUGCCACCACUACAUCAUAGUCUCAACAAUUACUCAUUAUAGACCUCUUAUUUACUCCUAUUUGAAAUCCAUGCACUUUGUAUUUGAUUUGAUUCUCUGUUUCACCUAUUUGUGUAUGUGAAUCAGAAUGUCUAAAAUCACACAUGUUAACUUGUUGUAAGAAUUGUAAAAAAAAAAACUCUCAUCAAAAUUAUUCUCCAUGAGAAUGAUAAUUACAUUUAAUCAAAAUAUUAAAGUCUAGGUUUUUGUAUGCUUCUUUUUAAUACAUCUAAUGUGUAUUUGUAAAAUAUUUUCUGCCUUUAGUCCAUAAGUCAAGCUGUACUGAUGUACAUGUAUAUGAUUAAUGGAGUAAUAUUUACCCCAUUUUAUUUUAGCAAGUCGUGUCUGCAUUUGUUACCUUUGCUUUUUAUCAUUAGACUAAUCUUAUAUAUCCCAUUGCUUGACAAAGCAGUGGUUACUAGUUACAGUUGUAACUUUAUUAAUAUUUAGCCUGAUGUGUAGUCUAGCAAAGUCAAAUUUUGAAACAAUAUUGUGCAUGGUAUUUUGAACAGGAUGGAAAAUCUGACUUUUUAUUUUAAGUGCUAUUUUUGUGUUUUGACAGAGCUGUAUAUUUUUGUUGAAUUUGUUGUUAUUGUUGAAUAUGAAAUUAAACUGUAAAUAUUUCAAGUUUUCUGUUUAAACAUGCCAAAUCACCAUUGUCUGUGAUCUAGAUAUAUUAAUUAUGUUGAACAUAUUCACUGUCAGAGCAUUAUGUAAAUCUUGUGGUGCAGAAGAGCUGAAGUGUUCAUGUAUACUGUACAUGUAUUAAAGUAGUGCAAACAUAUGUGUGGAAGUGGGUGUGUGUCAGAUGAUAAGGAGAGCAUGAAGUGCAAGAAAGGUGAAAUUCUUUUAUUUAUAAGAGUGAAUGGUAUAACUUUAAAUGGUGCAUUAGGUGUCUUUGUGGUGCAUUCUUUUCAUUGGUGUUAAAUGGCUCGUGUUCUGUUGUGGAACUUCAUUAUUUAUUUAUUUUCUUUUUGGUCUUUGAACAGUAUACUAAAUUCAAUUCAAAUUUUUUUUUAUAUAAAAUAUAUAUUUGAUUAUUUUUGACUGACAUAACAAAUAUUGUAAAAAAAUAAAUAUACAAAUUAUUGUUAUUGGUAGUACAUGUACUAUGUUGGUUCGAAAUUUGUCUUUUUCUUUAAGUCAUGCUUGCAUCCAUCGUGAGAUAUACUUCAAAAUUAAACUGUAUUUGUUCAUCGUAAACAAUGUGAUUAAAUAUUUUAGAUAU
rnacentral:misc_RNA from 1 species